AGUGAACGCUGGUGGUAGGCCUAACACAUGCAAGUCGAACGGCAGCACAGUAAGAGCUUGCUCUUACGGGUGGCGAGUGGCGGACGGGUGAGGAAUACAUCGGAAUCUACUUUUUCGUGGGGGAUAAUGUAGGGAAACUUACGCUGAUACCGCAUACGACCUACGGGUGAAAGCAGGGGAUCUUCGGACCUUGCGCGAUUGAAUGAGCCGAUGUCGGAUUAGCUAGUUGGCGGGGUAAAGGCCCACCAAGGCGACGAUCCGUAGCUGGUCUGAGAGGAUGAUCAGCCACACUGGAACUGAGACACGGUCCAGACUCCUACGGGAGGCGGCAGUGGGGAAUAUUGGACAAUGGGCGCAAGCCUGAUCCAGCCAUACCGCGUGGGUGAAGAAGGCCUUCGGGUUGUAAAGCCCUUUUGUUGGGAAAGAAAAGCAGCAGGUUAAUACCCCGCUGUUCUGACGGUACCCAAAGAAUAAGCACCGGCUAACUUCGUG
rnacentral:rRNA from 1 species